UGCGGCAUCACCUCCUUUCUAAGGAAGCUGUGGAACAGGAAGACGGCAUCUUCGGAUGCAUGACCUUUCCCGUGCUUUUUAGAACAUAGAUGGCACCAGUCAGGUGACCAUCGAAACGCAAUACGCCGCGUCGACUUCGGUCACGACGGUAUGGCGAGCUUUCGCCGUCCACGUUUCUCUUUCUUCAAGAAGAUAUCGAACCAUUGAGUGCGCUCACGCGCUGUUUGCACCUUCGGUGCUGCGCUCCGCUGGGGCGCCGGACGGCCGGCGACGGACUAUCGUCCUGUUGAUCAGGAUGAAAGCGAUGGGCCCGUAGCUCAGUUGGUUAGAGCACACGCUUGAUAAGCGUGGGGUCGGUAGUUCAAGUCUACCCGGGCCCACCAUUUGCUUUUGCAGUUUGGUUUGCUCCUGGUUUAACUGAUCCUGGGUUUAACUGAUCCUGGCGGUUUGCUGUCAGGUGUUUGCGAUGGUUGGGGCUGUAGCUCAGCUGGGAGAGCACCUGCUUUGCAAGCAGGGGGUCAGCGGUUCGAUCCCGCUCAGCUCCACCAAUUCGCUUUGGUGUUGAACUGAGGGAUUUGAGAUAUUUUCUGAAGAAAAACAAAGUUUGCAUCGUUUAUGACGAUGCCUGUUCUGCAUAUAUCGUGAAGAGAAGAUUGAUCUGGAGGCUUCCAGGUGUUUUGGGUUUAGGCCCGAGGCGUCCGAAGCCGGUUCCGAUGAUGUCGUUGAUGAUCUAGCCGACCGGAAACGAAAGUGGAGCCGGAUGUAGGAAGGAAGCUUGUCCCGAGGCAUUGUUGUUGUUUGAAGGCUUUGGCUUUCAUCUGACCGACGGUGCUGGAUUGGCGUUGCCUGACCGCGCGCCACCGGAUUUGAUCUCGAGAAGCUGGUCUUAAGACAGACUGUGAAGCGAGCUGCUCGGCGUAGCUCCAAUAAAGCAGAUCUGUCGAACACGUCGAUGGCAUCAUGAAUUGUCCGGGUUGUAAAAGGUAACCUGGUCUCUGGCUGGCACGGCAAUCGCAAGGUUGUCCGGAUCCCGAUCCAGUAAAUGAUGAGCAUUGGCAAUGAGAACGAUUAAGUGUCGUAAGGGCAUUUGGUGGAUGCCUUGGCAUGCACAGGCGAUGAAGGACGUGAUACGCUGCGAUAAGCCGUGGGGAGCUGCGAAUGAGCUUUGAUCCAUGGAUCUCCGAAUGGGGAAACCCGG
rnacentral:misc_RNA from 1 species